UGUGUUCUUAGAAAUAAUUACCUAUGUUGGUCCUCCGAAGUAACACACCCUGCCCACCCCUCGCCACGUUCCCACUCUAGAAGGGCAGCAAGACUUCUCCCGUGGUGAUAAAUGAUGACAAGGUGGACAACGGAGGAACGUGAAACCAGAAGACACCUCCAAGCUGGGGAUGCCCUCUGCAAAUGGCCUUCUCUCUAGUUCCCUUCUUCCUGUGGGGCUCUGCUUCCUUCUCAUGGAAUCCUCUACCAACCUGGCAGCUUCCUCUCUUUUCUAGGGCAGCAUCUAUUUUUCCUGGAAUCUGGGGAACUCGUUUUACAUUCUGAAUGGCGAUCAUCAUAUUGCCUUGCAAGUUCCACGCUUCCUUUUCAAAGAAGCCCACUGGUACAGAAGUGCACUGAGCACUCACCUUUUGUGGCGGCGGAUUCUUUCUGUAACAGAAAUCAGCAGAAACCACCCAGAGGUUUGCUAGGGCCAGUCCUUCCUUCUACGACCUGCCUCUGCUAGGUCUGGGAGGCACUGGCCUCAGCUAUCAGGGAGGAAAAAUCAUUGGAAAUCUCGGGGCACUUGGGAGACACAGCAGGAGCACACAUAUUCCUCUUGACUGGGAGAGCUACUUUCUGUGUAUGCUAGUAUGCUCUAUGCCCUAGAGACGCUCCGUCUUCUAUAGAUUGCAGAAAUCUCCCAAUCAAUCAGUCAACAAGUGCCUAAUAUUAUAUAUGCUGGAGAUAAGAAUGAAAUACAUUUCUACCCCGA